rnacentral:rRNA from 1 species
UACGAAGGGGGCUAGCGUUGCUCGGAAUCACUGGGCGUAAAGCGCACGUAGGCGGCUUGUUAAGUCAGGGGUGAAAUCCUGGAGCUCAACUCCAGAACUGCCUUUGAUACUGAUGAGCUUGAGUUCAGGAGAGGUGAGUGGAACUGCGAGUGUAGAGGUGAAAUUCGUAGAUAUUCGCAAGAACACCAGUGGCGAAGGCGGCUCACUGGCCCGAUACUGACGCUGAGGUGCGAAAGCGUGGGGAGCAAACAGG